rnacentral:rRNA from 1 species
UACGUAGGUGGCAAGCGUUGUCCGGAAUUAUUGGGCGUAAAGCGCGUGUAGGCGGUUGGUUAAGUCUGAUGUGAAAGCCCUGGGCUCAACCCGGGAAGUGCAUUGGAAACUGGCUAACUUGAGUACGGGAGAGGGUAGUGGAAUUUCGAGUGUAGGGGUGAAAUCCGUAGAUAUUCGAAGGAACACCGGUGGCGAAGGCGGCUACCUGGACCGAUACUGACGCUGAGACGCGAAAGCGUGGGGAGC